rnacentral:lncRNA from 1 species
AUUAAAAUGCAUUGCGGGGUACAAACAAGUGCAUUUCAUUCAAGUAAUUAUCUAAUCACAAUGCACAAAUUCUCAAUGAAUAUCAAUGACUUAAACCAAAUAAAAGGUCCCAAACUUGGUCUAUUAUGUUCAUUAACAUCAUAAAAAAUCAUCAAUUACAUCCUAAUAACAAUUUCAACUCCAAAGUUGACUAAAGAAACUUUGCAGGAUAUGAAAACACAAGUGCAUUUCCAUUCAAGUAAAUUGUUGUGUUGUAAUCACAAAGUUCAAAUGAAAACCAAUGACUUGAACCCAUAAAAAAUUCAACUUAGUCUAUUGUAUUCAUUAACAUCAACAUAAAAACAUCAAUUACUUCCUAAUAACAACUCCAACCCCAAAGUUCAAUUAAAAACCAUUGCAG